rnacentral:rRNA from 1 species
UACGGAGGUUGCAAGCGUUAUCCGGAUUCACUGGGCUUAAAGGGUGCGUAGGCGGUCAGUUCAGUCAGUGGUGAAAUCCUUGAGCUCAACUCGAGAACUGCCAUUGAUACUAUCUGUCUUGAAUAUUGUAGAGGUAAGCGGAAUAUGUCAUGUAGCGGUGAAAUGCUUAGAUAUGACAUAGAACACCUAUUGCGAAGGCAGCUUACUACGCAUAUAUUGACGCUGAGGCACGAAAGCGUGGGGAUCAAACAGG